rnacentral:rRNA from 1 species
AUGCCCCUGGCGAUCAUAUCAGAUCGGGACAGAGUUUUUACAAGCAACCUUUGGCAAGAAAUGUUCAAGAUUGCGCAGACACAACUGCGAAUGAGCUCGUCUUACCACCCGCAGACAGACGGCCAAACAGAGCGGGUGAACCAAUGUCUCGAAACGUAUCUUCGCUGCUCAGUACAUGCCUGCCCCAAGAAUUGGUACAAAUGGCUCUUUCUUGCAGAGUACCGGUACAACACCAACUUCCAUUCUGCCCUCGAAAGAACACCGUACGAAGUCGUGUACGGAACACUGCCACGGGAAUUCGGAGUGACCCAAGUGGACUCCACUACAGUGCCUGAUCUAGCAGCAUGGCUGCAGGAACGAGCGGUGAUGUGUGAACUAUUACAGCAGCAACUUAAUUAGGCGCAAGAUCGCAUGAAAAAACAAGCGGACAAACACAGGACUGACCGGGAGUUUCAGAUCGGCGACGCAGUAUACUUGCGCCUGCAGCCUUACAUCCAGACCACGGUCGCUCAACGACCAUUCCAGAAGUUGGCGUUCCGAUACUUUGGACCAUACCCCGUGGUGGCUCGAGUGGGGAAAGUGGCGUACAAGCUUCAGUUGCCUGACGGGAGCAAAGAUACACCCAGUCGUGCACGUCUCCCAGCUCAAGAAGGCGGUCGGGACGAACAUUCAGGUAGAAACUGA